GACGAACGCUGGCGGCGUGCUUAACACAUGCAAGUCGUACGGUAAGGCCCUUUCGGGGGUACACGAGUGGCGCACGGGUGCGUAACACGUGAGUAACCUGCCCACAACUUUGGGAUAACGCUAGGAAACUGGUGCUAAUACUGGAUAUGUGCUCCUGCUGCAUGGUGGGGGUUGGAAAGCUCCGGCGGUUGUGGAUGGACUCGCGGCCUAUCAGCUUGUUGGUGGGGUAGUGGCCUACCAAGGCGGCGACGGGUAGCCGGCCUGAGAGGGUGACCGGCCACAUUGGGACUGAGAUACGGCCCAGACUCCUACGGGAGGCAGCAGUGGGGAAUAUUGCACAAUGGGCGCAAGCCUGAUGCAGCAACGCCGCGUGCGGGAUGACGGCCUUCGGGUUGUAUACCGCUUUCAGCAGGGACGAAGCUUUUUGUGACGGUACCUGCAGAAGAAGCACCGGCUAACUACGUG
rnacentral:rRNA from 1 species